GCGGGUCUGGUCCAGCGGCCGGGCCUCGGCCUUCCAAGCCGAUGAGAGGGGUUCGACUCCCCUGACCCGCUCCA
rnacentral:tRNA from 1 species